UGCAAGUCGAGCGGUAAGGCUCCUUCGGGAGUACACGAGCGGCGAACGGGUGAGUAACACGUGAGCAAUCUGCCCUUCUCUUUGGAAUAAGCGCGGGAAACUGCGUCUAAUGCCGAAUACGACCUCCUUACGCAUGUUUGGAGGUGGAAAGCUCCGGCGGAGAAGGAUGAGCUCGCGGCCUAUCAGCUUGUUGGUGAGGUAAUGGCUCACCAAGGCAUUGACGGGUAGCCGGCCUGAGAGGGUGACCGGCCACACUGGGACUGAGACACGGCCCAGACUCCUACGGGAGGCAGCAGUGGGGAAUAUUGGACAAUGGGCGAAAGCCUGAUCCAGCAACGCCGCGUGAGGGAUGACGGCCUUCGGGUUGUAAACCUCUUUCAGCAGGGACGAAGCGAAAGUGACGGUACCUGCAGAAGAAGGACCGGCCAACUACGUGCCAGCAGCCGCGGUAAUACGUAGGGUCCGAGCGUUGUCCGGAAUUAUUGGGCGUAAAGGGCUCGUAGGCGGUUUGUCGCGUCGGGAGUGAAAACUCAGGGCUCAACCCUGAGCGUGCUUCCGAUACGGGCAGACUAGAGGUAUGCAGGGGAGAACGGAAUUCCUGGUGUAGCGGUGGAAUGCGCAGAUAUCAGGAGGAACACCGGUGGCGAAGGCGGUUCUCUGGGCAUUACCUGACGCUGAGGAGCGAAAGCAUGGGGAGCGAACAGGAUUAGAUACCCUGGUAGUCCAUGCCGUAAACGUUGGGCGCUAGGUGUGGGGACCUUCCACGGUCUCCGUGCCGCAGCUAACGCAUUAAGCGCCCCGCCUGGGGAGUACGGCCGCAAGGCUAAAACUCAAAGGAAUUGACGGGGGCCCGCACAAGCGGCGGAGCAUGCUGAUUAAUUCGAUGCAACGC
rnacentral:rRNA from 1 species